AUUAAUUUGAGAGUUUGAUCCUGGCUCAGGACGAACGCUGGCGGCGUGCCUAAUACAUGCAAGUCGAACGAACUCUGGUAUUGAUUGGUGCUUGCAUCAUGAUUUACAUUUGAGUGAGUGGCGAACUGGUGAGUAACACGUGGGAAACCUGCCCAGAAGCGGGGGAUAACACCUGGAAACAGAUGCUAAUACCGCAUAACAACUUGGACCGCAUGGUCCGAGUUUGAAAGAUGGCUUCGGCUAUCACUUUUGGAUGGUCCCGCGGCGUAUUAGCUAGAUGGUGGGGUAACGGCUCACCAUGGCAAUGAUACGUAGCCGACCUGAGAGGGUAAUCGGCCACAUUGGGACUGAGACACGGCCCAAACUCCUACG
rnacentral:rRNA from 2 species